AUUGAACGCUGGCGGCAUGCCUUACACAUGCAAGUCGAACGGCAGCACGGACUUCGGUCUGGUGGCGAGUGGCGAACGGGUGAGUAAUGUAUCGGAACGUACCAUUGAGUGGGGGAUAACGUAGCGAAAGUUGCGCUAAUACCGCAUAUUCUGUGAGCAGGAAAGCAGGGGACCGCAAGGCCUUGCGCUCUUUGAGCGGCCGAUGUCAGAUUAGCUAGUUGGUGAGGUAACGGCUUACCAAGGCGACGAUCUGUAGCGGGUCUGAGAGGAUGAUCCGCCACACUGGAACUGAGACACGGUCCAGACUCCUACGGGAGGCAGCAGUGGGGAAUUUUGGACAAUGGGCGCAAGCCUGAUCCAGCCAUGCCGCGUGAGUGAAGAAGGCCU
rnacentral:rRNA from 1 species